CUGAUGCUCUUGGUUCCAGGACCACACCCUGAGGACCUCUGCCCUCAGUUUUUGUUUUCAGAGUGGUGCUCCUUCUAGUUACCUGAGCACAGAAAGAGAAAUGUAUGUAUCUGAGAUGAAGAGAAACAAUUAAGAAACUUGAAAUUCCACUUGAAUUUCAAAAACAACAACAAAAACCAAGUGAGUGAAUGUUACUGGUGGUGGAUCCCCCAGCAUCAAUCAAACCAUCGGAGACUGCAGUACCAGUUGACACCUUGAUGCAACCUCAUGAGAGACUGAGCCAGGCCCACCCAACUAAACUGCUCUGGAUUUCUCAUUCUCGAAAUUGUGUGGAAUAAUAAGUGUUUGCUGUUUACAAGCUUCUAAUACUGAGGUAAUUUGUUACACAGAAAUAGAU